rnacentral:rRNA from 1 species
CCUACGGGUGACAGCAGUGAGGAAUAUUGGUCAAUGGGCUUACGCCUGAACCAGCCAAGUCGCGUGAGGGAAGACUGCCCUAUGGGUUGUAAACCUCUUUUGUCAGGGAGCAACGCCGGCUACGUGUAGCCGGACUGAGAGUACCUGAAGAAAAAGCAUCGGCUAACUCCGUGCCAACAGCCGCGGUAAUACGGAGGAUGCGAGCGUUAUCCGGAUUUAUUGGGUUUAAAGGGUGCGUAGGCGGAAUGCCAAGUCAGCGGUAAAAUCGCGGGGCUCAACCUCGCUCCGCCGUUGAAACUGGCGUUCUUGAGUGGGCGAGAGGUAUGCGGAAUGCGUGGGGUAGCGGUGAAAUGCAUAGAUAUCGCGCAGAA